CGAGUCCGCCAGGCAGCCGCGCCGGGAUGGUCCCGUCGAGGAAAGUCCGAGCUCCGCAGAGCAGGGUGCCGGGUAACGCCCGGUCGGGGUGACCCGAAGGAGAGUGCCACAGAAAAGACACAGCCGGGGCGCAAGCCGCGGCGAAGGUGAAAUGGUGAGGUAAGAGCCCACCAGCAGCCGGGAGACCGGCUGGCUAGGUAAACCCCACCUGGAGCAAGACCAAAUAGGAGGACAUCAACGGCUGGCUCGGCCGGUCCUCGGGUACGGUCGCUGGAGUCG
rnacentral:RNase_P_RNA from 1 species